rnacentral:rRNA from 1 species
GCCCAUCUAAUAAAAUCUUAUAACCUUCAACUAAUAAAAACAAAUAAAUAAAUAUAAACAAAUAAUAAGUACAGAAAUGGAAGUACUAAUAAAUAAAAGUAACUAUUAACAACUGUACCUCGUGCAUUAUGGUUUUACAAGAAAAUAAUUAAAAAUACAGAUCCCGAAUUCUAAGUGAGAUGUUAAACUGCUGUUAAGAACCCAUCAAUAACUGUAUAAAAAGUUUUAAAAGACAGUUUAACAGAGGCUACAUACCAUCCGCACAAGAAUAUAGCUGGUUUUCAAUAAACAUUAUACAUUAAACCAUAUAAUAGUAUUAUAGUGUAAUACUAUUGAGGAUAAGCCCAAUAGUCUUAGCAAUAAAAAUAAAACCAGUAUAAAUUUAUAGGCCUAAAAUCAGCCAACCAAAAUACUUCAUCGUAACAAUUACUGAUAUAAUUAAUAUAAUAAUAUAUGCUAAAGAAAAUUGAAAUAGUGGGUAAACCUAUUAACCCGCCUAUAUUAUGUAAAAAUAAGUAUUAUAAAAAAAUAGUAGUAGUAAUCAAGUCACUUACAACACAUAAAACAGAAUAAUUAAUUAAGGAACUCGGCAAACCAUUAUUUCGACUGUUUAACAAAAACAUUGUCUCAUGUAAAAUAUAUGAGAUAAUACCUGCCCAGUGACACAAGUUCAACGGCCGCGGUAUCCUAACCGUGCAAAGGUAGCAUAAUCACUUGCCUAUUAAUUGUAGGCUAGAAUGAAAGGGUUAACUAAAUAAAGACUGUCUCAAUUAAUUACCUAAAAAUUAUUAUCUAUUUGAAGAAAGAUAGAUAGUCUCGAAGGACAAGAAGACCCUAUAGAGCUUAAUUUUAAUUAUAGAAUUACACUAUAAAAAUAUUCGGUUGGGGCGACCCAGGGCUAAUCAAUCACCCAAUAUAUAAAAGAUUAAUUAAUCAAAUAAUUGACCCCUAAAAGAUCAUAAGACCAAGCUACCUUAGGGAUAACAGGCUAAUCCCACUCAAGAGUCCUUAUCAACAGUGGGGUUUGGCACCUCGAUGUUGGCUUAGGGAAUCCAUAUAGCGCAAAAGCUAUAUAAAGAUGGUUUGUUCAACCAGUAACUCCCUACAUGAGCUGAGUUCAGACCGGCGUGAGCCAGGUUAGCUUCUAUCCUCGACCCACACAAUCUGCUCCUAGUACGAAAGGACCUGAGUAGAAUAAUAAAUUAUAUCAAAGAAUAAAUAUAAAUUAAAUAUUAAAUUUACCUCCAUCAUAAACUAUG